rnacentral:rRNA from 1 species
AACGAACGCUGGCGGCGCGCCUAACACAUGCAAGUCGAACGAGAAUCCGGGGCAACCCGGUAGUAAAGUGGCAAACGGGUGAGGAAUACAUGGGUAACCUACCCUUGAGAAGGGAAUAACCCGCCGAAAGGUGAGCUAAUACCCUAUACGCUAUCUUUUUUUCGAAAAGGAUAGGAAAGCCGGGUCGAGGACCUGGUACUCAAGGAGGGGCUCAUGUCCUAUCAGCUUGUUGGUGGGGUAACGGCCUACCAAGGCUACGACGGGUAGCAGGUCUGAGAGGAUGAUCAGCCACACUGGCACUGAGAUACGGGCCAGACUCCUACGGGAGGCAGCAGUGAGGAAUAUUGCGCAAUGGGCGAAAGCCUGACGCAGCGACGCCGCGUGGGGGAUGAAGGUUUUCGGAUUGUAAACCCUUUCAUGAGGAAAGAUAAAGUGGGUAACCACUUAGACGGUACCUCAAGAAGAAGCCACGGCUAACUUCGUG